GCAGUCGAACGAGACGGGCUAUAGCUUGCUAUAGUUGUCAGCUAAGUGGCGCACGGGUGAGUAAUGUAUAGGUAAUAUGCCUCUUACUAAGGGAUAACAAUUGGAAACGUUUGCUAAUACCUUAUACUCCUUAUUAACCUAAGUUAAUAAGGGAAAGAUUUAUUGGUAAGAGAUUAGCCUGUAUUGUAUCAGUUAGUUGGUGGGGUAAUGGCCUACCAAGACUAUGACACAUAACUGGUUUGAGAGGAUGAUCAGUCACACUGGAACUGAGACACGGUCCAGACUCCUACGGGAGGCAGCAGUGGGGAAUAUUGCACAAUGGACGAAAGUCUGAUGUAGCAACGCCGCGUGGAGGAUGACACAUUUCGGUGCGUAAACUCCUUUUAUAUGAGAAGAUAAUGACGGUAUUAUAUGAAUAAGCACCGGCUAACUCCGUGCCAGCAGCCGCGGUAAUACGGGGGGUGCAAGCGUUACUCGGAAUCACUGGGCGUAAAGAGCAUGUAGGCGGAUUAAUAAGUUUGAAGUGAAAUCCUAUAGCUUAACUAUAGAACUGCUUUGAAAACUGUUAAUCUAGAAUGUGGGAGAGGUAGAUGGAAUUUCUGGUGUAGGGGUAAAAUCCGUAGAGAUCAGAAGGAAUACCGAUUGCGAAGGCGAUCUACUGGAACAUUAUUGACGCUGAGAUGCGAAAGCGUGGGGAGCAAACAGGAUUAGAUACCCUGGUAGUCCACGCCCUAAACGAUGUACACUAGUUGUUGUGAGACUUGAUCUUGCAGUAAUGCAGUUAACACAUUAAGUGUACCGCCUGGGGAGUACGGUCGCAAGAUUAAAACUCAAAGGAAUAGACGGGGACCCGCACAAGCGGUGGAGCAUGGGGUUUAAUUCGACGAUACACGAAGAACCUUACCUGGACUUGACAUAGUAAGAACUUUCUAGAGAUAGAUUGGUGUCUGCUUGCAGAAACUUAUAUACAGGUGCUGCACGGCUGUCGUCAGCUCGUGUCGUGAGAUGUUGGGUUAAGUCCCGCAACGAGCGCAACCCUCGUGUUUAGUUGCUAACAGUUCGGCUGAGAACUCUAAACAGACUGCCUACGCAAGUAGGAGGAAGGUGAGGACGACGUCAAGUCAUCAUGGCCCUUACGUCCAGGGCUACACACGUGCUAC
rnacentral:rRNA from 1 species